GACGAACGCUGGCGGCGUGCCUAAUACAUGCAAGUCGAACGCAGUGGGGACGGGUGAGUCACACGUGGGUAACCUCCCAUCAGAGGGGAUAACACUUGGAAACAGGUGCUAAAACGAUACUGAUGGAUGGACCCGCGGUGCAUUCGCUAGUUGGUGAGGUACCGGCUCACCAAGGCCCCGAUACAUAGCCGACCUGAGAGGGUGAUCGGCCACAAGGGGACUGAGACACGGCCCAGACUCCUACGGGAGGCAGCAGUAGGGAAUAUUCGGCAAUGGACGAAAGUCUGACCGAGAAACGCUGCGUGAGUUAAGAAGGUUUUCGGAGCGUAAACCUCUGUUGUUAGAGAAGCGGUAUCUAACCAGAAAGCCACGGCUAACUACGUGCCAGCAGCCGCGGUAAUUC
rnacentral:rRNA from 1 species